GUGGGGAAUUUUGGACAAUGGGCGCAAGCCUGAUCCAGCAAUGCCGCGUGCAGGAAGAAGGCCUUCGGGUUGUAAACUGCUUUUUUACGGAACGAAACGGUCCGGGUUAAUACCCUGGGCUAAUGACGGUACCGUAAGAAUAAGCACCGGCUAACUACGUGCCAGCAGCCGCGGUAAUACGUAGGGUGCAAGCGUUAAUCGGAAUUACUGGGCGUAAAGCGUGCGCAGGCGGUUUUGUAAGACAGGCGUGAAAUCCCCGGGCUCAACCUGGGAAUUGCGCUUGUGACUGCAAGGCUGGAGUGCGGCAGAGGGGGAUGGAAUUCCGCGUGUAGCAGUGAAAUGCGUAGAUAUGCGGAGGAACACCGAUGGCGAAGGCAAUCCCCUGGGCCUGCACUGACGCUCAUGCACGAAAGCGUGGGGAGCAAACAGGAUUAGAAACCCGGGUAGUCC
rnacentral:rRNA from 1 species